UGGGGAAUUUUGCGCAAUGGGCGAAAGCCUGACGCAGCGACGCCGCGUGAGCGAUGAAGGCCCUCGGGUUGUAAAGCUCUGUGGAGAGGGAAGAAUAAGGGCAAGCCAAUACCUUGUCUGAUGACGGUACCUCUUUAGCAAGCACCGGCUAACUCUGUGCCAGCAGCCGCGGUAAGACAGAGGGUGCAAACGUUGUUCGGAAUUACUGGGCGUAAAGCGCGUGUAGGCGGCGAUGCAAGUCGGGUGUGAAAUCCCACGGCUCAACUGUGGAAGUGCACUCGAAACUGCGUUGCUGGAGUUCUGGAGAGGAAGGCGGAAUACUUGGUGUAGAGGUGAAAUUCGUAGAUAUCAAGUGGAACACCGGUGGCGAAGGCGGCCUUCUGGACAGUAACUGACGCUGAGACGCGAAAGCGUGGGGAGCAAACAGG
rnacentral:rRNA from 1 species